CCUACGGGAGGCAGCAGUGGGGAAUUUUGGACAAUGGGCGAAAGCCUGAUCCAGCAAUGCCGCGUGAGUGAAGAAGGCCUUCGGGUUGUAAAGCUCUUUUGUCAGGGAAGAAACGGUGAGGGCUAAUAUCCCUUGCUAAUGACGGUACCUGAAGAAUAAGCACCGGCUAACUACGUGCCAGCAGCCGCGGUAAUACGUAGGGUGCAAGCGUUAAUCGGAAUUACUGGGCGUAAAGCGUGCGCAGGCGGUUUUGUAAGUCUGUCGUGAAAUCCCCGGGCUCAACCUGGGAAUUGCGAUGGAGACUGCAAGGCUAGAAUCUGGCAGAGGGGGGUAGAAUUCCACGUGUAGCAGUGAAAUGCGUAGAGAUGUGGAGGAACACCGAUGGCGAAGGCAGCCCCCUGGGUCAAGAUUGACGCUCAUGCACGAAAGCGUGGGGAGCAAACAGGAUUAGAUACCCUGGUAGUCCACGCCCUAAACGAUGUCUACUAGUUGUCGGGUUUUAAUUAACUUGGUAACGCAGCUAACGNGUAGAAGUAGACCGCGUCGGAGGUACGGUACGACGAGAAGUAAACUAACGAAAGUAAAGUAGACGGACGUAGAGACGUACGACGACGGACGACGACGAGGGAGGAGGAG
rnacentral:rRNA from 1 species